GUUAGAGUGCGAAAACCAAUGUGUCUUCGGACGACGACGACGCCAACGUCAUACCAGUAUACGACCGCAAAAAUUUUUUGCGGUCGUAUAAAAAUUGCUGAAUUUUUAGUGUCUGUUCUCUACUUAAGUUAGUCUCAACCAAAUGUUAUGAGACUUACACACAAUGCUUAUUACCACAAAACUCAGAUCAAGUUCAAAUUUGGGUAGUGUCACUUUUACCGUUCUUCAGUUAUGUCUUUUGAUAACUCUAUGAUAUGCAAGCGGGGGCAUCAUCUGUGUCCACAUGUGGACACUAUCCACAUUUAUUUUUUUUAAAUUUUGAUACUUUACAGGGUAAACUGAUUAUAUUGUUAUUGUUUUUGUUUUUGUUUUGUUUUUAUCAGUUUUUGUCUCGCCUUGACAGAGUCAAAAAGCGAGACAUAGGUAUGCUGUUUCCGGUGUCGGCAGCGGCGUCAACAAUGUAUUAGUUUGUGAUUAAGUCAGUUUUGUGGGGAACCACUAGUGGUAGGUCAAUGAUAUUUGGUAUGCAGUUGUAUUAGCAUUGGCACAUCUCAUUUCCAUGGAGAUUAUUUGGCCCUGCCCCUCAGUCGUGGUCUAAUAUUUUGACUUUGAAACUUUUGCUUAGUUUACAUGUAUUAGUUUGUAAUUAGGACAGUUUCUGGGGAACCGCUAGUGGUAGAUCAAUGAUAUUUGAUAUGCAGUUGUAUUAGCAUUAGCACAUCUCAUUUCCAUGGAGAUUAUUUGGCCCUGCUCCCUCAGUAGUGGUCUGUUGACUUUAAAACUUUUGCUUAGUUUACAUGUAUUAGUUUGUGAUUAGGUCAGUUAUUGGGUUACCACUAGUGGUAGGUCAAUAUUAUUUGGUAUUCAGUUAUAUAAUCAUUGGUACAUCUCAUUUCCUUGGUGAUUAUUUGAUCACUCUCCUCAGUCAUGGUCUAUUGACCUUGAAAACUUUGCUUAGUUUACAUUUAUUAGUUUGUGAUUAGGGCAGUUUAUAGGGAAUCACUAGUGGUAGAUCAAUGAUAUUUUGUAUCCAGUUGUAUUAGUAUUGGCACAUUUCAUUACCAUGGAGAUUGUUUGGCCCCGCCCCCUCAGUCGUGGUCUAUUGACUUAAAAACUUUUGCUUAGUUUACAUGUAUUAGUUUGUGAUUAGGUCAGUUAUUGGGGAACCACUAGUGGUAGUUCAUUGAUAUUUUUUAUGCAUAUAUAUAUAAGCAUUGGCACAUCUCAUUUCCAUGAGAUUAUUUGGUCAUGUACCUUCAGUCAUGGUUCAUUGACUUUGAAUAUUUUGCAUAACUUACAUGUUAAAGUAUUGCUAUUUAAUUUCAACAUUUGCAUAUUACUAUCAAAAUAACAAAAAGGUGAGACAUAUCUCUGUGUUAACAGUUUAUUUGGUUUGUCUGUCUGUUUAGUUUGUUUAUUUCUUGUCUUUUAUUUUUUGGGGAAGGGUCCCAUGUGUAGAUUUAUUGCAUUAUUAUUGGUAAAUAAAUGUUAAUAUGGUCCAAAAUGGAACAUCAUAUUGAAAGAGUUUUCAAUCGAAGUUAAUUGAUAUUCUGCAAGGGAUAAGGAGAGUCUCCAGUAAGGGCUUAUUUUGGCCUAAAACUUGAAGUACAUCUGAUGAAAGAUUUUUGACAUUUUUUAACACUUAAGUGUCUACUUCAGUUGGUUCAAUUAGUUUAUGUAAAAUAUUUGAACUGAUUUGGUCAUUAAAGACACAUAAAUUCAAGCUUAAAUAUGAAAAAUCUAUCAAAUAUGCCAGAAAACGUCAUUUUUCAGAUGGUUUUUGUCUAAAAUGGAAGUGGCCGCAUUCGUGUUAAGUCGUGUAAAGGAAGAAGACAGGCAUUGCAAAACAAUAGACAAUAUCAUAGGUAAAGGAAGAAAACAGAUAUUGUAAAACAAUAGACAAUAUCAUAGGUAAAGGAAGAAGACAGAUAUUGUAAAACAAUAGACAAUAUCAUAGGUAAAGGAAGAAGACAUGUAUUGUAAAACAAUAGACAAUAUCAUAUAGGUAAAGGAAGAAGACAGAUAUUGUAAAACAAUAGACAGUAUCAUAAGUAAAGGAAGAAAACAGAUAUUGUAAAACAAUAGACAAUAUCAUAGGUAAAGGAAGAAGACAUGUAUUGUAAAACAAUAGACAAUAUCAUAGGUAAAGGAAGAAAACAGAUAUUGUAAAACAAUAGACAAUAUCAUAGGUAAAGGAAGAAGACAUGUAUUGUAAAACAAUAGACAAUAUCAUAGGUAAAGGAAGAAGACAUGUAUUGUAAAACAAUAGACAAUAUCAUAUAGGUAAAGGAAGAAGACAGAUAUUGUAAAACAAUAGACAAUAUCAUAGGUAAAGGAAGAAGACAUGUAUUGUAAAACAAUAGACAAUAUCAUAGGUAAAGGAAGAAAACAGAUAUUGUAAAACAAUAGACAAUAUCAUAGGUAAAGAAAGAAGACAUGUAUUGUGAAACAAUAGACAAUAUCAUAGGUAAAGGAAGAAAACAGAUAUUGUAAAACAAUAGACAAUAUCAUAGGUAAAGAAAGAAGACAGGUAUUGUGAAACAAUAGACAAUAUCAUAGGUAAAGGAAGAAGACAUGUAUUGUAAAACAAUAGACAAUAUCAUAGGUAAAGGAAGAAAACAGAUAUUGUAAAACAAUUGACAAUAUCAUAGGUAAAGGAAGAAGACAUAUAUUGUAAAACAAUAGACAAUAUCAUAGGUAAAGGAAGAAAACAGAUAUUGUAAAACAAUAGACAAUAUCAUAGGUAAAGGAAGAAGACAUGUAUUGUAAAACAAUAGACAAUAUCAUCGGUAAAUGAAGAAAACAGAUAUUGUAAAACAAUAGACAAUA